UCAAAUGUUCCUUAUCAAUUCUCUAUUGACUGAAAGCGAAACGGAAAGAAAACUGUACAGUAAACUCUGAAAGGGACCCAGUGAUGAACUGUCUUCUCUUGAUCGAUCAUUAAAGUCCACUUAUUACUGUGGUUUGCCCAGAUUUUUGAAAAGCUAUGACAGUCCCGGUUGUAUGUAUCGUCUAUGCCUGUUUAGUGCUGAUUGGGUUGUUGUUUAUCUGCUGUUUCUUUGUAUUCGUUAGAGUUCGGAGCGUUCGCGGUAGAGUAGGCAGAAGUAAUGCAGAUGAAAACUCCCACGGUAUUACAACCGAAGAACUGGACACUGAGCAGCCCACAGAUGCACCUCAGAGCGGUUCAUCACAAGCACCCACACAUGGUCUUCCAAAGGAACCUCUGUCCUACAUUGAGCUCAGCAAGAGGAGAAUAAAGAUAUAGGAUUUAAAAAUUAAAAAAUUAAAGAUGAGCUUAUGUUAAAUUAUAUAAAUUGUGGAUCAUCUCGUUAGACGAAUGGGGCGUGUCCUAUUUCGUUCCACACUUAACAUUGAUUGCCAAGCCUUCUUUCGUUAUUCACUGUUAUUAUUAGCCAUAUUAUGUUAAUAUUUUCGUUUGUUCUGAUGAAGGGACGAGUUGUCCCGAAAAGACAAUCUGGUUGUUCGUGU